rnacentral:rRNA from 1 species
GUUUGACAAUGCACAGGAACAGCCGGCAGAGAUGUCAGGUUCACCUUGUGGCACUGUGUGCAUGGUGGUGCAUGGCAUGUCGUCAGCUCGUGUCGUGAGUAUGUUGGGUUAAGUCCACGCAACGAGCGCAACCCUUGUCUCAUGUUGCCAGCGCGUUAUGGCGGGGACUCGUGAGAGACUGCCAGGGGUCAACUCGGAGGANAGGUGGGGAUGACGUCAAGUCAUCAUGCCCACUUAUGUCCAGGGCUUCACACAUGCUACAAUGGCCAGGUACAAAGGGCUGCGAUGCCGUGAGGUGGAGCGAAUCCUUUCAAAGCCGUCUCAGUUCGAUCGGGGUCUGCAACUUUAACCGUGAGGGCGGAGUCGCUAGU